AUGGAGGCAGUAAAGCCAGCCGCAACAACAUAUAUUAGGAAGUGGCACAAUAGGUUGUGGUCUAGGAGUCAGUUCUCGACCAUAUGCAAGGUGGACUAUGUAACCAACAACUUGGCGGAGUGCUUUAACAAUUGGAUCAAGCACCACAAGUCAUUGAACUUGGACGAUUUCUUGGACAAGGCGAGAGAAUUCAACUUGGAGGUGGUAGAAUGCUCAGAAGAAGUGGCUGAAGUGGUUGCAUUAGGAGGCAGCGGUUUUAGAGCAGCUUAUUCCAACCUGAUCCCUGCUAUGCCUGACAAGAGCCAAUGGCCUGAAUCUGACCAUGGAUUUUUCAUGCAUCCACCACUACUUAAAGCUACAGCUGGCAGGCCUAAAACUGAGAGAUAUAAAGGUUGUAGUGACAAGAAAAGAAAAAAGGGCAAGCACUUAUGUCCAAUUUGUAAGGAAUAUGGGCAUCAUUGGCACAACUGUAAGAAGGGUAACCCUGAUGACAUUGCUGCAAUGUUGGCUAUUAGAGAACCACCAAAGAAGAGGGCAAAGACUAGCAAAACAACCCAGUCCAUUGUGCCUUGCGAGGAUGGAGCACCAACAAGGAUGCUUUUUCCACCACCAAGCCAAAGCUUGGAAACUACAACUAAGAAAAAGAGAAAACGUGACAACAUUGAAUCUGGAGGUUCAAAGAGGUACUUUUCUGUAUUACUUGCUGCCAUAAACUUGUUGCUGCUGCCAUAA
rnacentral:rRNA from 1 species